GGAAUAUUGCUCAAUGGGAGAAAUCCUGAAGCAGCAACGCCGCGUGGAGGAUGAAGGGUCUAUGACUUGUAAACUCCUGUAAAGAAGGAAAAAAUUCCCAUUUGAUGGGAGAUGAUGGUACUUCUGGAGUAAGCCCCGGCUAACUACGUGCCAGCAGCCGCGGUAAUACGUAGGGGGCAAGCGUUGUCCGGAUUUACUGGGUGUAAAGGGUGCUCAGGCGGAUUUGUAAGUCAGAGGUGAAAUCUUACAGCUUAACUGUGAAACUGCCUUUGAUACUGCAAGCCUAGAGUAUGGAAGAGAGUGAUGGAAUAUCUGGUGUAGCAGUGAAAUGCGUAAAUAUCAGAUAGAACACCAAUGGCAAAGGCAGUCACUUGGUCCAUUACUGACGCUAAAGCACGAAAGCGUGGGUAGCAAACA
rnacentral:rRNA from 1 species